UCACCUGCUGUUAUUUCUCUUUUAUUUAUCUCAUAUAACAUUCAAGUACAUGAUAGCCUUCAUUUUGGCCCAAGUGGAAAUAGGUCUCUCUGCAUUUCUCCUUUUACUUGUGAUGAGUUGAUCCCACCACACAAUGGCAUAUUCUCCAAACUCCACGACCACAACCUUUAUCUUUUUCUCCUCCCAAUAAUCGUGGCACUCAAAAAUAAGCUACACCUUGUGCUCCCAUUCAAGAUAAGCAUUCAGAUCAUUCUUGCCUAGAAACGAUGGGAUUUUCAUUUUGAUGCUCCCAAUAUUUUUAUCAAGAUUAUUUCGACCCCUACCAUAAUAUCGACCUUCAUUGACCAAAGUAGCUCGGUCAUCAAAUCCUUCCUCCAGUUCCUCAUCAAAAGGUGGUGUUGGAAGUCUUCUUGCCCUUGGAUUGGUUUGGGAAGCUUCCCCUCUCAAGGAAUUUAACUCACUUUGUUGUUUCUCUAGUUUCUCAUUCAUUUUGCCAAUAGCUAGUUGAAUCCUGUCAAAUUGUUGUUGCAUUGCUUUGAGGAUGAAUUCUUGAUCUUUUGAUGUUCUUUCACUCCCAUGUGCUCCAUCUUCAAAUCUGAAAUUUUAAUGACAAACAAAAUAGAUUGCAACCU
rnacentral:lncRNA from 1 species